rnacentral:ncRNA from 1 species
CGGCCUGAGGUCGGACGAGGCUACCCGCUGAAUUUAAGACAUAUUACUAAGCGGAGGAAAAGAAA